rnacentral:misc_RNA from 1 species
AAAACUAUACACAUCGCUCAUUGCCGUCAAGUGACCUGUCAUGAUAUAUUCAGGAGCAGCAUAGCCUUGCGUUCCCAUAACUCGGGUGGAAACAUGCGUAUCAGAUCCUUCAGGACCAUCCUUUGCUAGCCCAAAAUCUGAAAGUUUAGGUGUAUAAUCCGAGUCUAACAAGAUGUUGGAGGCUUUGAAAUCCCUGUAUAUAACAGGUUUUUCUGAUUCAUGGAGGAAGGCAAGACCCUUUGCAGCUCCAAGAGCAAUUUUCAUUCUGCUCGACCAUGGUAGUGAUGCAGAAUAUCUUCUAAACAACUGAUUCUCUAAGCUGCCUCGUGGCAUAUAUUCAUAAACUAAAAGCCUAUGUUCCUCUUCGCAACAAUAGCCAAUUAGCUUCACCAGAUGUGGAUGCCUCAACUGCCCAAGAAAGAUCACUUCCGUCAACCACUCCCUAUGACCUUGUAAGCCUUCCAGGUCUAAGAGCUUGACCGCAACAGGCUGAGCCUCCAAGCCAGGCUUGACCUUGUCAUCAAUGAAGCCCUUGUGCACUGGUCCAAACCCUCCUUCACCAAUAAAGUUGCUUGACGAGAAGCCCUGUGUGAUCACCUUAAGCUCGGCGAGAGUAAAAACGUGAAGGUUUGAACCAGCAAGAGAAAUAGAAAGAUCCUCGGAGAGUGAACCGGGAUUGCUCAAAUCAGAGAGUGAAAUCCUCUGGAAUGAAGUUUGUUUAGUGACCUCCUUCUUGGGUUUAGAUGAUGAUGGUUUCUCUUUCUCCUGUGAAUUGAAACAACUGGAAAGCAUUGAUAUCCACGUAACCUUCUCCACAGUCAUUGUUAUUGAUGAAUGAUUCUGGAAACUCUCGAAAAGGAGAGAGUUGAAGAGGAGGAGGAGGAAGAGAA